rnacentral:misc_RNA from 1 species
AAAGCAGCCAAUCUGUGAUCGCUCAUCAAAGCACCGUCCUUUCUAACAACCACCAAAAACAACCAGCUUCAACCUUCAAAGUUCAAACGCCCACUUGCUUUCAUCGCCGCUUGGCGGAGUUCCCGACGCUCUGCCCCUCUCUUUCCUCUUCUAUAGAAACCCCACUAAGACCCAGCCUUUCUCUUCACCGCCCUCUCUACAAAUCCCCUAAAACUAGAAGACCAGAGACGAGUGCAACAUAAAGAAAUGGCCUUGGCCACUCAACCAGCCGCCACCGCCACCACCAACCUCCUCAACAAGUCCUUCUUUUCCUCUAAACCCCAAUCUUCCACUUCCAUUCCAUUCCCUUCUGUAAAGCGUCGUUCUUUAGUUGUGCGCAACUCCGUCACGGUGGCGCCACCUUCUCCGACGAAGAUCGCCAAGGAGUGCAAGGUCAAGUCGGUGAAGGCGAGGCAAAUCAUUGACAGCCGAGGGAAUCCCACCGUCGAGGUUGAUCUCUUCACCGAUGAUCUUUACCGAUCCGCCGUCCCCAGUGGCGCCUCCACUGGGAUCUAUGAAGCUUUAGAGCUUAGAGAUGGGGACAAGAGUGUUUAUGGUGGUAAAGGAGUGCUUAAUGCUGUUAAAAACAUCAAUGACAUUUUGGGCCCUAAGCUAAUCGGCGUUGAUGUCAGGUAAUAGCCAACUUAACAAUUUUUAUACCUUUUAGUUACUGUGUUGACUUGUUUGCUAAUCAAGGUUAUUAGGGAAGUGCUUUAUAUUGCUUUCUAAUUAUUGAACGCAGUGCAAUGUCCAUUGACUGGUUAAUUGUAGAACGUGUAGAUAGAGCCCUUGUUGCCUUUUAUACGCUUGAAAAAUUUUCAAAUAUAUGUUAAGAAAAUAUUGUUGAAGUUGGGGAUGUUAUGAAAUCACAGCUAGGAAUGUUUUUGUUUUACUCAUGUCUGAAAAUUUCAAUGAAAUAAUAUUGGGGUAGCUGAGGUACAAAGUUGGCAGUGUUGAUCAUCCAGGCAGCUUGAAUCAUGUUUCAAAUCUUGUUUGCAGUCACAAAAAUGUUAAUUUGCGGAUAGAUACAGAGAGCCUGUCUUUUAAGUUCUAAUGGCGAUGCUUGUAAUAAAGUCAACCGUUUUGCUAGUUUGGAUGUAAACUAGGUCGUUUUAUUAAAGCACUAUGCCUCUCUUACACCUGAAACUAAAGGAAGGAGAGUACUAGUACCUCUCUUAUAGCAAGCCCCUCAUUAUACCUCUUUUACAGCAUUGCCCGUAGUAAGCUGUGAUGGUUUGUUUUUCUAAUUUAUGCUUGUGGGUAGAUUCUUUCAUAUAAGGUUAUAACUGUUGCUUUUAUGUUUCGUAAGAAACCAAGAUGAAGUGGAUGCUAUUAUGCUGGAUAUUGAUGGAACUCCAAACAAGUCGAAACUUGGAGCUAAUGCUAUCCUUGGGGUAUCUCUGAGCAUUUGUCGAGCAGGUGCUGGAGCAAAAGCAGUGCCCUUGUACAAGCACAUUCAGGAAAUUUCAGGAACAAAGGAGCUUGUCAUGCCAGUUCCUGCUUUUAAUGUCAUAAAUGGAGGCAGUCAUGCUGGAAAUAAUUUAGCUAUGCAAGAAUUUAUGAUACUGCCAGUAGGUGCAACCUCAUUUGCCGAGGCCCUCCGCAUGGGUAGUGAAGUUUAUCAUACGCUGAAGGGAAUUAUCAAGGCUAAAUAUGGACAGGAUGCUUGCAAUGUUGGAGACGAAGGGGGAUUUGCUCCUAAUGUGCAGGAUAAUAGGGAGGGACUAGUUUUGCUUAUGGAAGCAAUUGAAAAGGCUGGUUACACAGGGAAGGUAUGCUGCAUUUAAUUUCUUUACCCCUGAAAUUGAAACUUUCACUUGUACUAAAUGUGGACUCAAAGCAAUGAUGCAGAUCAAAAUUGGAAUGGAUGUUGCUGCCUCAGAAUUUCUCACAAAGGAUGGAAAAUAUGAUUUGAACUUCAAGAAACAACCAAAUGAUGGGGCUCAUGUGCUCUCAGCUCAGAGCCUUGGUGAGCUCUACAAGGACUUUGUCAAGGAGUUCCCUAUUGUGUCCAUUGAAGACCCUUUUGACCAGGAUGAUUGGAACUCAUGGGCUUCACUACAGUCUUCAGUUGAUAUCCAACUUGUAGGGGAUGAUUUGUUGGUCACAAACCCAAAGAGAAUUGCUGAAGCAAUUCAGAAAAAGGCUUGCAAUGGUUUACUUCUCAAGGUUAACCAGAUUGGCACAGUGACCGAGUCCAUUAGAGCAGCACUCGACUCAAAAGCUGCAGGUUGGGGUGUGAUGGUCAGCCACCGAAGUGGUGAAACCGAGGAUAACUUUAUUGCCGAUCUUUCUGUUGGCUUGGCUAGCGGACAGAUCAAGACUGGAGCUCCUUGCAGAAGUGAGCGAUUGGCCAAGUAUAAUCAGCUUCUGCGGAUUGAAGAGGAACUUGGAAAUGUUCAUUAUGCCGGUGAAGCUUUCAGAUCCCCUUAGGACAGAGGGGAGCUCAGUUUCAUGGCAUAGGAUAUUCACCUUGGAGAAUUUACAAAAAAUUUUGGCAGAACCAGGCAACAUAGAUGUGAAUUAAAAACACAAUUAUCUAAUUACUUUGGCAUUAGAAACCACAUUUUCUCAAAAUCUUGAAAGAAGUAAGUGUGCCUCUGAAUAAGGAAGUCUGAAUCUGAAUGGUGUUUCCAGAUCUGUGCCACUACUUGUUGUAAUUUUAUGUACCCUUAUAUAAUGAGAAUGGAUUUGGCAAAUGGGAACUCAUUUUCAAUUACAUUGAAUUUGCGUUGGAUUAAUUAUAUGCUGCUGAGUUCAAGGUACAGUGUUUUUGGUGUGAUAACAAAAUAAUGGGGAAGCCAAAAAAU